UACGGAGGAUGCGAGCGUUAUCCGGAUUUAUUGGGUUUAAAGGGUGCGUAGGCGGGCAUUUAAGCCGGCGGUCAAAUGUCGGGGCUCAACCCCGGCCUGCCGUCGGAACUGGGUGCCUUGAGUGGGCGAGAAGUAUGCGGAAUGCGUGGUGUAGCGGUGAAAUGCAUAGAUAUCACGCAGAACCCCGAUUGCGAAGGCAGCAUACCGGCGCCCGACUGACGCUGAGGCACGAAGGCCAGGGGAGCGAAAGGG
rnacentral:rRNA from 1 species